CCUUCGACGGAACAGCAAAUGGAUAAAUAACCCUAGGUCUCCUUAAUCUCUCUCAGCUGAUUUCCUUCGUCUCUUUCAUAUCAUCUUCUACAUCUCUCUCAAUACAUCGACUCAUCUUCUCCAUCUCUUCAAUUCAUCUGAGUUGGUGUUGAUUAUGGGUACUUGAUAAUGGUUUACUUUCAGACAAGAAAGCCUUUCCAGGCCAUGGUUUCUAUUACGUUCUUUCUAAACCUGAGAUGAGUAAUGCUCUUGCCCUUGCUGUAAAAUCUGAAUCGGUUGUGCAGAGGAUGAUGAUCGUGGAGUUGCUCACACUUGCUUCCAGUGCAACAAAUCAUGAUAUUAUUAAGUUUUUAGAAAGUGUUGGGGCAGAGUUUGGUGCUUGUCAAAAUGCUACAACGUCGGCAGAUGAAACGAUAUAUGAAUUGCUUGUGCCUGUCGUCAAGCUUGAACUACUAUCACAAGCUAUAUCAGUUCUAGUAGAGUUUUGCUAUGAGGUUCGAGUUUCAGCAGAAGAUUUGGAAAAAGAAAAGAGGUGCUGUUUUGGAAGAAAAUAGAGGAACUCGCAAUAUUAAUGGUCGGAUGCAAGAUGCACACUGGAAUUUGAUGAUGGAAGGAUCAAAGACUGACACCAAAAAGAUAUCCGCCGUGUCUAUGUUUUUUGAGACAAUGCUAUACCGAUUGGAUGAGAACACGUGUUACAUUGAUUAUGAUCAGUUGGAGAAAAGCGCUACACUCUUCAGGCCAAAACUGAUAGUUGCUGGUGCAAGUGCUUAUUCACGCUUCUAUGAUUAUGCACGCAUUCACCAGGUGUGCGACAAGCAAAAGGCUAUAUUGUUGGCAGAUAUGGCACAUAUCAGUGGUCUUGUUGCUGCUGGGUCAUCCCAUCCCCAUUUGAGUAUGCUGAUAUGGUGACCACCACGACACAUAAUAAAUUCCUUCGUCGACCACAUGGGUCGAUGAUUUUUUACGGAAAGGGGUUGAAGGAAGUCAACAAACAAGGCAGAGGCAACUACCCUAGAGUACAAGGCUUAUCAAGAACAAGUUCUCAAAAAUGGCUCACAGUUUGCCGAAGGUAUUGAUGGCUCAAGAGUUGAGAAAGUAAGGGGGGGACCAAUUGGUAAGAUUGGUGUUGCCAUUGAUGGCUCAAGAGUUGAGAAAGUAAGGGGGGGACUAAUUGGUAAAAUUGGUGUUACCCGGAUUACUGGAUAGUUCUGAGCCAUCUUGAGGUAGCAUUUAAAGUGUGGAAGUCGGGGAGGGUAAGUCUCAUCUAAGUGAUGAGUUAGUUCCCAUAUAUGAGUGCCCCAUGGGACGGGAUGCGUGUUAUCAGAGGAUAUCCCAGACCUAGGGUUAAGUGUUUCCAAGAGUAAUCAAGCUUUCCAAGCCUCACCAAUUGGCGAUAGUGUGUCCCAUAUUUUUUCCUUAUAAACUGGAUCUACAAACCUGGUAUUAUGGACUAUUAAUUUUGUUAAUUGUGUCUAAAAAAAUGAAAGAAACUAGGGGCAAAUACGUUAUCGGGCGGACCAUAUUUAAUACUAGGAAUUACCAAUAGGUACCAUUAUAGUGUUCUUAGUUAGUGGCAGGUCCACCCAUUAAAGCCCACUAAUCAGAGGUCCAUAAUUAAAAGAAAACAUGAAAAUGGACCAAUUUUUUUAAGCCCAGGUCCUGCACACGUGUGGGAUAUACUACGCGCAUUUUUGAAAUUCCCAAAACACCCUUAUGUAUAUAAAAGCUGGGUAACUAAAUUUCAUUUUACUUUUUUGUUUUCAUUUUAAUUUCUCAUAUCCAAACCGGGAGAGCUGCUAGAAGAGAAUUUUUUUCUUAGGUUUUCAUCGCCGAAUGCGAGAAUUAUUUCGAUUUUGUUUGAUUAACCGAGAUUUAGUUAGUUUUAAUGUUGUUUUAUUUUAUUUUAAGCUAUUUAGAUCUGGAUUUUCACUGUAAUGGAGAAAUUCAAUUGAGAUACGUACAUGAAGUUGUUGCUACCUACAGAUCAAGAUAAUCAACAAAGAAUCAGUCAAGAUAAAUCAUAUUGUAUAUACGAUGCACUGCAGAAAAAUCACAGUAUAUAUACGCUGCACUGCUGAACAAUCAUAACUUAAAAGCAGCACUCCAGAUAAAAUCGCAGUGCAUAAACUAUGUAUUGACAAGUGGGUGAAGGAAAGUGCAUAAAAGCAUUACAUAAAAGCAUCACUCCAGAGGAAAGGCAAGCUUGAAGUCCAAAAUAAUCUCUGAAGAGGUUUAUUAUCCUCUAGCAUAUGCUUAGUUUCUGGAGAAGACGUUACACUAGUUCCUGAAGAAGAUGUUGCUUCUUGGUCUUCUUCAAAUAAGGAUAAUCUCAUGAUGUUUGAUUUCUUAUGAUAACACAUUUUUUAUUUGGAUGAAUACAUGUUUAUACAUGUGCAUGGUAAAACUAAAGCUCAUGAGGAUCUUCAUACUACAAGUCUUAUUAAUGCAUGCAUAUAACAUCUUUUUAGCUUGAUUAUUUGAACCAAUAAUAAGUGGUUUAGUUCUUAUAUGUGCGGGUUAGAGAUAGAAAGUUGAUUGACUACUAUUGUAGGUUUUAUCUUGGUUGCAGCAUGACUUGCUGAGAUAGAGAAACCCAAGUUGCAUCUGACAUGUAUCUAAUACCACCAAAGUAUGUCUCAUUGGUCUCCAUGUCUGCAUAUUGAUACUCAUUUUUAUCUGUUGUUCAUCAUGGCUGUGUCAAUAUUGUUAGGUUUUGGUCACAUUUACAGGUUCAAGAUGUCUAGUUCUAAUCUAAACACUAAGAACUUUUUGAAUAUACCAUUUAUGUUCUGGAAAUUCACAUUUACAGGUUCAAGAGUUUAACGCACAUAGACUCAUAUAUGCAAUCGAUGCUGCUAAACAAGUUAAACCGGGAUUUGGGAAGAGCAAUUUCAUUCUUCUGGGAACUACAGAAGGGUAACUUGUGAAAAUUAUGGAGGAAAGCCUUGCAUACCUGGAGUUAAAAGUGAAUGAAAGUGUUUUCAGUCAUUAUUUUUCUUUCAGUGCAUCCAUUAUGCACUCACUUUCUCAGUAUGUAUCAGAUGUACUGAUUUUUUGGUUGUAUGUGAAGUACUUGAAAUUAGUAUGUAAUAAACCAACACGCCUUGGUUUU